rnacentral:rRNA from 1 species
UGGCGUACGGGUGAGUAACACGUGGAUUAUCUACCUUCUAGUGGGGAAUACCUCCGGGAAACUGGAGACAAUACCGCAUAAGCUCGUAAGAGGAAAGCAGCAAUGCGCUGGAAGAGGAGUCCGCGGCUGAUUAGCUAGUUGGCGGGGUAAUGGCCCACCAAGGCGAAGAUCGGUAGCCGGCCUGAGAGGGCACACGGCCACACUGGCACUGAAACACGGGCCAG